ACAGGAGUCGACCUUUGAGACCUGCUUGUUCAUGGCUGUUUCACGGAUGUCAAAGUGGAGGCUCAGCAAGGUUGGAGGUUCCUGGAGUCUCCCAGCUGAAAUGGAAGUGCUUGCUGAGGUUUGGUGUGUCCGAGCCAAAGAGCAGCCAAUGACAGGCCUGAGGAUCAUCUGGCACAGCCCACUUGACAAGGCCUUGGAAACUUUUGGUCUCUGCAGCAGCAACCGGAUUUCAGCCUGGGCCUCGGACACCUAGGCCUGGGACUGUACAUCUUGGCCUCUUACCUACUAUGUCUGCGUCAGCCUCCUUCACAGCCUGAUGGCCCCUGCGGCAGCCCCAACCCAGUUUCAGGGGCUAAGAAAACUACAGUUGCAUGAAUGAGUGGAGGUGAGUGGGAGGCAGAAGCAGCGGGGCAGAACCAGUCUGUUCCGAGAUCUCUGGACCAACCAGUGGAUCCUGAUGGUCAGCCUUGUCUAGAGCCCCUUCCAGCACGGAGGCCAGUCCUCCUGGCAUUCUUCUAAUUACACUGAGCUGUGAGUUA
rnacentral:lncRNA from 1 species